GUAGUCCACGCCCUAAACGAUGCUGACUAGUUGUUCGGGAUUACAUCCUGAGUAACGUAGCUAACGCGUGAAGUCAGCCGCCUGGGGAGUACGGUCGCAAGAUUAAAACUCAAAGGAAUUGACGGGGACCCGCACAAGCGGUGGAUGAUGUGGAUUAAUUCGAUGCAACGCGAAAAACCUUACCUACCCUUGACAUGUCACUAACGAAGUAGAGAUACACUAGGUGCUCGUAAGAGAAAGUGAACACAGGUGCUGCAUGGCUGUCGUCAGCUCGUGUCGUGAGAUGUUGGGUUAAGUCCCGCAACGAGCGCAACCCUUGUCUUUAGUUGCUACGCAAGAGCACUCUAAAGAGACUGCCGGUGACAAACCGGAGGAAGGUGGGGAUGACGUCAAGUCCUCAUGGCCCUUAUGGGUAGGGCUUCACACGUCAUACAAUGGUGCAUACAGAGGGUUGCCAACCCGCGAGGGGGAGCUAAUCUCAGAAAAUGCAUCGUAGUCCGGAUCGUAGUCUGCAACUCGACUACGUGAAGCUGGAAUCGCUAGUAAUCGCGGAUCAGAAUGUCGCGGUGAAUACGUUCCCGGGUCUUGUACACACCGCCCGUCAUACCAUGGGAGUGGGUUUUGCCCAGAAGCCGUUAGCCUAACCGCAAGGAG
rnacentral:rRNA from 1 species